rnacentral:misc_RNA from 1 species
CAAGUAUUUGAGCAACUUUCUCAAUUGCUGCUCCUACAAAAUCCCUCACUUGCUCCUUAACAUAAAUGUUUUCUACAGCAUAAGGCGUGGAAGUUGCUUGCACAAUCUGAGAACCAUCAAAAUAAUCCCGGAAAAUCUUAGCCUCGGUUUGUGCGCUCAGAAGAACGAGUUUAAGGCCAGAUUGAGCAUUCAUAACUACCAUUUUUUUAAGAUAGGCAAGAAG